AUUGAACGCUGGCGGCAGGCCUAACACAUGCAAGUCGAACGCGUGGCGGACGGGUGAGUAGUGUCUGGGAAACUGCCUGAUGGAGGGGGAUAACUACUGGAAACGGUAGCUAAUACCGCAUACCAUUGGAUGUGCCCAGAUGGGAUUAGCUAGUAGGUGGGGUACAGGCUCACCUAGGCGACGAUCCCUAGCUGGUCUGAGAGGAUGACCAGCAACACGGGAACGGAGACACGGUCCAGACUCCUACGGGAGGCAGCAGUGGGGAAUAUUGGACAAUUGGCGAAAGCCUGAUGCAGCCAUCCCGCGUGUAUGAAGAAGGCCUUCGGGUUGUAAAGUACUGUCAGCGGGGAGUCGUUACCCGCAGAAGAAGCACCGGCUAACUCCGUGCCAGUAGCCGCGGUAAUUC
rnacentral:rRNA from 1 species